ensembl:snoRNA
GCCCACUGAUGAAAUCAUGGCAGGUUUUAUGAUCCAGUCAGACCAAGAGAUUGUGGUCUCUAGCCUGCUGUUAGGUGGGUAGUCUUGGUAGUGUGAUGGAGUUUUAUUGCACUGCUGUAAGGGCCCACCCAUAGCUAACAUGUCAGCUUCUACAGCCUCUGCCCACCCAAGAGUAAUGGGACGGGAUAGGUAGGAGAUGUCAAACAAUGUGCAGAUGUUUGUUUGUGUGUAAGUUGUAUGAAUGUAUAUGUAUCAGCUGGCAAAGAGCUAUAGUCUCUUUAUAGUUGGUUUGGCAGGUAUGAACUACAGUCUUUGGUAAUCUGAGGGCA